UCUGGCGGCGGUUCUGGAGACG
rnacentral:miRNA from 1 species